AUUGAACGCUGGCGGCAUGCUUUACACAUGCAAGUCGAACGGAUUUUGGAGCUUGCUCCAGAGUUAGUGGCGAACGGGUGAGUAAUAUAUCGGAACGUACCCGGCAAUGGGGGAUAACGUAGCGAAAGUUACGCUAAUACCGCAUAUGCCCUGAGGGGGAAAGCAGGGGACCAGUAAUGGCCUUGCGUUGUCGGAGCGGCCGAUAUCGGAUUAGCUAGUUGAUGAGGUAAAGGCUCACCAAGGCGACGAUCCGUAGCGGGUCUGAGAGGAUGAUCCGCCACACUGGGACUGAGACGCGGCCCAGACUCCUACGGGAGGCAGCAGUGGGGAAUUUUGGACAAUGGGCGAAAGCCUGAUCCAGCCAUGCCGCGUGAGUGAAGAAGGCCUUCGGGUUGUAAAGCUCUUUCAGGUGGAAAGAAAAGGUUACGGAUAAUACCUGUAACUGAUGACGGUACCAUCAGAAGAAGCACCGGCUAACUACGUGCCAGCCGCCGCUGUAA
rnacentral:rRNA from 1 species